UACAGAGGGUGCUAGCGUUGUUCGGAAUCAUUGGGCGUAAAGGGCGUGUAGGCGGUUUGUUAAGUCAUGUGUGAAAUCCCUCGGCUCAACCGGGGAACGACGCAUGAAACUGGCAAGCUAGAGUACCAAAGAGGGGGGUGGAAUUCCCGGUGUAGCGGUGAAAUGCGCAGAUAUCAGGAGGAACACCGGUGGCGAAGGCGGGUCUCUGGGCCGAUACUGACGCUGAGGAGCGAAAGCGUGGGGAGCGAACAGG
rnacentral:rRNA from 1 species